AGGCAGGCACCGGCAAUGGCAACCUUUAGCUUGCUUCCCACACCCACCAUCCAAAAGCACCACCACAACCUCACCCCAUCCAACAUCUCAUUCCAAGGCCUUAGACCCCUCACCAAGGCCAAAACCGCCUCCCUCUCCAAGAUCACCCUCACUGCACCAAAAAGGAGCUUAGCUGUGAAAGCAGAGCUUAACCCAUCAUUGGUCAUAAGCUUGAGCACAGGGGUA
rnacentral:lncRNA from 1 species